GGUUGGAUCAUUAACAAAUUCAACUAAAGAGGGGUGUAAAAACCUCUUCUUUAAACACUUGUGCACUUGUAAUUGUCCCUGGUGGGUUGGUUCACGCCGGCCCACCGUUAUUAAACUCUAAGUAUUCUAUUGGUCAUUUAAAAAGUUAUUUAAUCUUAAACAACUUUUGGCAACGGAUCUCUUGGUUCUCGCAACGAUGAAGAACGCAGCGAAAUGCGAUAAGUAAUGUGAAUUGCUAUUCCGUGAAUCAUUAAAUCUUUGAACGCACAUUGCGCUUUGUGGCAUUCCGCAAAGCAUGUCUGUUUGAGAAUCAGUACAUCUCUCACUUCUAAAUUUUGUCAUGAAAUCUAGCUAGUGGAUUUGGGGUUUUUAACUUCACCGUUAAUACUCUUAAAGUCAACUUUUCGCCUUUUGCUAAAUCGCUCAGUAAAUCUGUAGGCUGAAGGCAUGAUUAAUGAACCUUGGGUUCUUUGAUUGCUUGGUAGGCUAAUGGACUAGCUUUGUGAUGAGGUAAUAUGGAAGAAAACAACUUUAUAUACUAGAGUUUCGACUCUAAAGACUUGAUCUCAAAUCAGAUAAGACUACCCGCUGAACUUAAGCAUAUCAAUAAGCGGAGGAAAAGAAACUAACAAGGAUUCCCCUAGUAACGGCGAGUGAAGCGGGAUCAGCUCAAAUUUGAAAUCUCUUGGGUCUCCCAAGCGAAUUGUAGUUUAAAGAGGUGUUUUCAGUAGUGGUCCAGGUCCAAGUCCUUUGGAACAUGGCAUCAUAGAGGGUGAGAAUCCCGUCUCUGGUCUGGAUACCAUUACAUUAUGAUACACUUUCAAAGAGUCGGGUUGUUUGGGAAUGCAGCCCAAAAUGGGUGGUAAAUACCAUCUAAAGCUAAAUAUUGGCGAGAGACCGAUAGCGAACAAGUACCGUGAGGGAAAGAUGAAAAGAACUUUGAAAAGAGAGUCAAAUAGUACGUGAAAUUGCCAAAAGGGAAACGCUUGAAACCAGUUUUGCUGGCAGAAUCUCAACUAGGCUUUGUCUAGUGCAUGUUUCUGUUAGCAGGUCAACAUCGGUUUUGACUAGAGUACAAAGCUUGAGGAAGGUAGCCUUCGGGUGUUAUAGCCUCUUGUUAUGCUCUGGUUGGGACCGAGGACUGCAGUGCAGCCUUGGGGACCUAGUCGCUAGUCGAUGCUAAUGCUUGGACAACUUGUUGAUCAAGUAGGAGAUAAGGCUAAUCGGUUAGCUUACCACACCUGUGCUUAGGAUGUUGACAAAAUGGUUUUAAACGACCCGUCUUGAAACACGGACCAAGGAGUCUAACACAUAUGCGAGUAUUUGGGUGUUAAACCCGUAUGCGCAAUGAAAGUAAUAGGUGCCAUCUUCGGUGCAGCAUCGACCGGUCUGGAUUUUCUAUGAUAGAUCUGAGUAAGAGCAUAUUUGUUAGGACCCGAAAGAUGGUGAACUAUGCCUGAAUAGGGCGAAGCCAGAGGAAACUCUGGUGGAGGCUCGUAGAGAUUCUGACGUGCAAAUCGAUCUUCAAAUUUGGGUAUAGGGGCGAAAGACUAAUCGAACCAUCUAGUAGCUGGUUCCCUC
rnacentral:misc_RNA from 1 species